AGUGGCAAACGGGUGAGUAACACGUAGGAAUCUACCUUGUAGUAUGGAAUAACAGUUGGAAACGACUGCUAAUACCGUAUACGCUCUUCGGAGGAAAGAUUUAUCGCUAUAAGAUGAGCCUGCGCUAGAUUAGAUUGUUGGUGGGGUAAUGGCCUACCAAGUCGAUGAUCUAUAGCUGGUCUGAGAGGACGAUCAGCCACACUGGGACUGAGACACGGCCCAGACUCCUACGGGAGGCAGCAGUGGGGAAUAUUGGACAAUGGGCGAAAGCCUGAUCCAGCAAUGCCGCGUGAACGAUGAAGGCCUUAGGGUUGUAAAGUUCUUUCAGUAGGGAAGAUAAUGACGGUACCUACAGAAGAAGCUCCGGCUAACUCCGUGCCAGCAGCCGCGGUAAUACGGAGGGAGCUAGCGUUUUUCGGAAUUACUGGGCGUAAAGCGCGUGUAGGCGGCUGAUUAAGUUGGAAGUGAAAUCCCGGAGCUUAACUCCGGAACUGCUUCCAAAACUGGUCAGCUAGAGAUUGGUAGAGGAUGGCGGAAUUCCUAGUGUAGAGGUGAAAUUCUUAGAUAUUAGGAGGAACAUCAAUGGCGAAAAGCAGCCAUCUGGACCAUUUCUGACGCUGACACGCGAAAGCGUGGGGAGCAAACAGGAUUAGAUCCCCUGGUAGUCCACGCCGUAAACCCACGAGUGCUACGUAUCCGA
rnacentral:rRNA from 1 species